CAGGACACCCAGUUAAAUGUGAAUUUCAGAUAAACAAUGAAAAAUUUUUUAGUUAAAUUAUGUCCCAUACAACAUUUGGGACAUACUUAUACUGAAAUAUUAUUCAUUGUUUAUCUGAAACUCAAAUUUCACUGGGCAUCCUGUA
rnacentral:miRNA from 1 species